rnacentral:rRNA from 1 species
GGGUUGUGAGGUUAAGCGACUAAGCGUACACGGUGGAUGCCCUGGCAGUCAGAGGCGAUGAAGGACGUGCUAAUCUGCGAUAAGCGUCGGUAAGGUGAUAUGAACCGUUAUAACCGGCGAUUUCCGAAUGGGGAAACCCAGUGUGAUUCGUCACACUAUCAUUAACUGAAUCCAUAGGUUAAUGAGGCGAACCGGGGGAACUGAAACAUCUAAGUACCCCGAGGAAAAGAAAUCAACCGAGAUUCCCCCAGUAGCGGCGAGCGAACGGGGAGCAGCCCAGAGCCUGAAUCAGUGUGUGUGUUAGUGGAAGCGUCUGGAAAGGCGCGCGAUACAGGGUGACAGCCCCGUACACAAAAAUGCACAUGCUGUGAGCUCGAUGAGUAGGGCGGGACACGUGGUAUCCUGUCUGAAUAUGGGGGGACCAUCCUCCAAGGCUAAAUACUCCUGACUGACCGAUAGUGAACCAGUACCGUGAGGGAAAGGCGAAAAGAACCCCGGCGAGGGGAGUGAAAAAGAACCUGAAACCGUGUACGUACAAGCAGUGGGAGCACAGAGCAAUCUGUGUGACUGCGUACCUUUUGUAUAAUGGGUCAGCGACUUAUAUUCUGUAGCAAGGUUAACCGAAUAGGGGAGCCGAAGGGAAACCGAGUCUUAACUGGGCGUUAAGUUGCAGGGUAUAGACCCGAAACCCGGUGAUCUAGCCAUGGGCAGGUUGAAGGUUGGGUAACACUAACUGGAGGACCGAACCGACUAAUGUUGAAAAAUUAGCGGAUGACUUGUGGCUGGGGGUGAAAGGCCAAUCAAACCGGGAGAUAGCUGGUUCUCCCCGAAAGCUAUUUAGGUAGCGCCUCGUGAAUUCAUCUCCGGGGGUAGAGCACUGUUUCGGCAAGGGGGUCAUCCCGACUUACCAACCCGAUGCAAACUGCGAAUACCGGAGAAUGUUAUCACGGGAGACACACGGCGGGUGCUAACGUCCGUCGUGAAGAGGGAAACAACCCAGACCGCCAGCUAAGGUCCCAAAGUCAUGGUUAAGUGGGAAACGAUGUGGGAAGGCCCAGACAGCCAGGAUGUUGGCUUAGAAGCAGCCAUCAUUUAAAGAAAGCGUAAUAGCUCACUGGUCGAGUCGGCCUGCGCGGAAGAUGUAACGGGGCUAAACCAUGCACCGAAGCUGCGGCAGCGACGCUUAUGCGUUGUUGGGUAGGGGAGCGUUCUGUAAGCCUGUGAAGGUGUACUGUGAGGUAUGCUGGAGGUAUCAGAAGUGCGAAUGCUGACAUAAGUAACGAUAAAGCGGGUGAAAAGCCCGCUCGCCGGAAGACCAAGGGUUCCUGUCCAACGUUAAUCGGGGCAGGGUGAGUCGACCCCUAAGGCGAGGCCGAAAGGCGUAGUCGAUGGGAAACAGGUUAAUAUUCCUGUACUUGGUGUUACUGCGAAGGGGGGACGGAGAAGGCUAUGUUGGCCGGGCGACGGUUGUCCCGGUUUAAGCGUGUAGGCUGGUUUUCCAGGCAAAUCCGGAAAAUCAAGGCUGAGGCGUGAUGACGAGGCACUACGGUGCUGAAGCAACAAAUGCCCUGCUUCCAGGAAAAGCCUCUAAGCAUCAGGUAACAUCAAAUCGUACCCCAAACCGACACAGGUGGUCAGGUAGAGAAUACCAAGGCGCUUGAGAGAACUCGGGUGAAGGAACUAGGCAAAAUGGUGCCGUAACUUCGGGAGAAGGCACGCUGAUAUGUAGGUGAAGUCCCUCGCGGAUGGAGCUGAAAUCAGUCGAAGAUACCAGCUGGCUGCAACUGUUUAUUAAAAACACAGCACUGUGCAAACACGAAAGUGGACGUAUACGGUGUGACGCCUGCCCGGUGCCGGAAGGUUAAUUGAUGGGGUCAGCGCAAGCGAAGCUCUUGAUCGAAGCCCCGGUAAACGGCGGCCGUAACUAUAACGGUCCUAAGGUAGCGAAAUUCCUUGUCGGGUAAGUUCCGACCUGCACGAAUGGCGUAAUGAUGGCCAGGCUGUCUCCACCCGAGACUCAGUGAAAUUGAACUCGCUGUGAAGAUGCAGUGUACCCGCGGCAAGACGGAAAGACCCCGUGAACCUUUACUAUAGCUUGACACUGAACAUUGAGCCUUGAUGUGUAGGAUAGGUGGGAGGCUU